rnacentral:rRNA from 1 species
AUUGAACGCUGGCGGCAUGCCUUACACAUGCAAGUCGAACGGCAGCACGGGAGCAAUCCUGGUGGCGAGUGGCGAACGGGUGAGUAAUAUAUCGGAACGUGCCCAGUCGUGGGGGAUAACGCAGCGAAAGCUGUGCUAAUACCGCAUACGAUCUAUGGAUGAAAGCGGGGGAUCGCAAGACCUCGCGCGAUUGGAGCGGCCGAUAUCAGAUUAGCUAGUUGGUGAGGUAAAGGGUCACCAAGGCGACGAGCUGUAGCUGGUCUGAGAGGACGACCAGACACACUGGAACUGAGACACGGUCUAGACUCCUACGGGAGGAAGAAGUGGGGAAUUUUGGACAAUGGGCGAAAGCUUGUUCCAGCAAUGCCGCGUGCAGGAUGAAGGCCUUCGGGUUGUAAACUGCUUUUGUACGGAACGAAACGGUGAGCUCUAAUACAGGUUGCUAAUGACGGUACCGUAAGAAUAAGCACCGGCUAACUACGUGCCAGCCGCCGCCGUAA